rnacentral:rRNA from 1 species
CCUACGGGAGGCAGCAGUGAGGAAUAUUGGUCAAUAGACGAGAGUCUGAACCAGCCAAGUAGCGUGAAGGAUGACUGCCCUAUGGGUUGUAAACUUCUUUUAUAUGGGAAUAAAAUGUUCCACGUGUGGGAUUUUGUAUGUACCAUAUGAAUAAGGAUCGGCUAACUCCGUGCCAGCAGCCGAGGUAAGACGGAGGAUCCGAGCGUUAUCCGGAUUUAUUGGGUUUAAAGGGAGCGUAGGUGGAUUGUUAAGUCAGUUGUGAAAGUUUGCGGCUCAACCGUAAAAUUGCAGUUGAAACUGGCAGUCUUGAUUACAGUAGAGGUGGGCGGAAUUCGUGGUGUAGCGGUGAAAUGCUUAGAUAUCACGAAGAACUCCGAUUGCGAAGGCAGUUCACUGGACUGCAACUGACACUGAGGCUCGAAAGUGUGGGUAUCAAACAGGAUUAGAUACCCUGGUAGUC